UACGUAGGGGGCAAGCGUUGUCCGGAUUUAUUGGGCGUAAAGAGCGUGUAGGCGGCUGGGUAGGUCCGUUGUGAAAACUCGAGGCUCAACCUCGAGACGCCGAUGGAAACCCUCCAGCUAGAGUCCGGAAGAGGAGAGUGGAAUUCCUGGCGUAGCGGUGAAAUGCGCAGAUAUCAGGAAGAACACCGGUGGCGAAGGCGGGUCUCUGGGCAGUAACUGACGCUGAGGAGCGAAAGCGUGGGGAGCGAACAGG
rnacentral:rRNA from 1 species